UUAAGCGACUAAGCGUACACGGUGGAUGCCCUGGCAGUCAGAGGCGAUGAAGGACGUGCUAAUCUGCGAAAAGCGUCGGUAAGGUGAUAUGAACCGUUAUAACCGGCGAUGUCCGAAUGGGGAAACCCAGUGCAAUUCGUUGCACUAUCGUUAACUGAAUACAUAGGUUAACGAGGCGAACCGGGGGAACUGAAACAUCUAAGUACCCCGAGGAAAAGAAAUCAACCGAGAUUCCCCCAGUAGCGGCGAGCGAACGGGGAGCAGCCCAGAGUCUGAAUCAGCUUGUGUGUUAGUGGAACGGUCUGGAAAGUCCGACGGUACAGGGUGAUAGUCCCGUACACCAAAAUGCACAGGCUGUGAACUCGAAGAGUAGGGCGGGACACGUGGUAUCCUGUCUGAAUAUGGGGACCAUCCUCCAAGGCUAAAUACUCCUGACUGACCGAUAGUGAACCAGUACCGUGAGGAAAGGCGAAAAGAACCCCGGCGAGGGAGUGAAAAGAACCUGAAACCGUGUACGUACAAGCAGUGGGAGCACCUUCGGGUGUGACUGCGUACCUUUUGUAUAAUGGGUCAGCGACUUAUAUUCUGUAGCAAGGUUAACCGUAUAGGGGAGCCGCAGGAAACCGAGUCUUAACUGGGCGUUAAGUUGCAGGGUAUAGACCCGAAACCCGGUGAUCAGCCAUGGGCAGGUUGAAGGUUGGGUAACACUAACUGGAGGACCGAACCGACUAAUGUUGAAAAAUUAGCGGAUGACUUGUGGCUGGGGUGAAAGGCCAAUCAAACCGGGAGAUAGCUGGUUCUCCCGAAAGCUAUUUAGGUAGCGCCUCGUGAACUCAUCUUCGGGGUAGAGCACUGUUUCGGCUAGGGGGUCAUCCCGACUUACCAACCCGAUGCAAACUACGAAUACCGAAGAAUGUUAUCACGGGAGACACACGGCGGGUGCUAACGUCCGUCGUGAAGAGGGAAACAACCCAGACCGCCAGCUAAGGUCCCAAAGUCAUGGUUAAGUGGGAAACGAUGUGGGAAGGCACAGACAGCCGGAUGUUGGCUUAGAAGCAGCCAUCAUUUAAAGAAAGCGUAAUAGCUCACUGGUCGAGUCGGCCUGCGCGGAAGAUGUAACGGGGCUAAACCAUGCACCGAAGCUGCGGCAGCGACACUAUGUGUUGUUGGGUAGGGAGCGUUCUGUAAGCCUGCGAAGGUGUGCUGUGAGGCAUGCUGGAGGUAUCAGAAGUGCGAAUGCUGACAUAAGUAACGAUAAAGCGGGUGAAAAGCCCGCUCGCCGGAAGACCAAGGGUUCCUGUCCAACGUUAAUCGGGGCAGGGUGAGUCGACCCCUAAGGCGAGGCCGAAAGGCGUAGUCGAUGGGAAACAGGUUAAUAUUCCUGUACUUGGUGUUACUGCGAAGGGGACGGAGAAGGCUAUGUUAGCCGGGCGACGGUUGUCCCGGUUUAAGCAUGUAGGCUGGUUAUCCAGGCAAAUCCGGAUAAUCAAGGCUGAGGUGUGAUGACGAGGCACUACGGUGCUGAAGUAACAAAUGCCCUGCUUCCAGGAAAAGCCUCUAAGCAUCAGGUAACAUCAAAUCGUACCCCAAACCGACACAGGUGGUCAGGUAGAGAAUACCAAGGCGCUUGAGAGAACUCGGGUGAAGGAACUAGGCAAAAUGGUGCCGUAACUUCGGGAGAAGGCACGCUGGUGUGUAGGUGAAGUCCCUGCGGAUGGAGCUGAGACCAGUCGAAGAUACCAGCUGGCUGCAACUGUUUAUUAAAAACACAGCACUGUGCAAACACGAAAGUGGACGUAUACGGUGUGACGCCUGCCCGGUGCCGGAAGGUUAAUUGAUGGGGUUAUCCGUAAGGAGAAGCUCUUGAUCGAAGCCCGGUAAACGGCGGCCGUAACUAUAACGGUCCUAAGGUAGCGAAAUUCCUUGUCGGGUAAGUUCCGACCUGCACGAAUGGCGUAAUGAUGGCCAGGCUGUCUCCACCCGAGACUCAGUGAAAUUGAACUCGCUGUGAAGAUGCAGUGUACCCGCGGCAAGACGGAAAGACCCCGUGAACCUUUACUAUAGCUUGACACUGAACAUUGAGCCUUGAUGUGUAGGAUAGGUGGGAGGCUUUGAAGCGUGGACGCCAGUCUGCGUGGAGCCAACCUUGAAAUACCACCCUUUAAUGUUUGAUGUUCUAACGUUGGCCCCUGACCGGGGUUGCGGACAGUGUCUGGUGGGUAGUUUGACUGGGGCGGUCUCCUCCCAAAGCGUAACGGAGGAGCACGAAGGUUAGCUAAUCCUGGUCGGACAUCAGGAGGUUAGUGCAAUGGCAUAAGCUAGCUUGACUGCGAGCGUGACGGCGCGAGCAGGUGCGAAAGCAGGUCAUAGUGAUCCGGUGGUUCUGAAUGGAAGGGCCAUCGCUCAACGGAUAAAAGGUACUCCGGGGAUAACAGGCUGAUACCGCCCAAGAGUUCAUAUCGACGGCGGUGUUUGGCACCUCGAUGUCGGCUCAUCACAUCCUGGGGCUGAAGUAGGUCCCAAGGGUAUGGCUGUUCGCCAUUUAAAGUGGUACGCGAGCUGGGUUUAGAACGUCGUGAGACAGUUCGGUCCCUAUCUGCCGUGGGCGCUGGAGAAUUGAGGGGGGCUGCUCCUAGUACGAGAGGACCGGAGUGGACGCAUCACUGGUGUUCGGGUUGUCAUGCCAAUGGCACUGCCCGGUAGCUAAAUGCGGAAGAGAUAAGUGCUGAAAGCAUCUAAGCACGAAACUUGCCCCGAGAUGAGUUCUCCCUGAGACUUUAAGUCUCCUGAAGGAACGUUGAAGACGACGACGUUGAUAGGCCGGGUGUGUAAGCGCAGCGAUGCGUUGAGCUAACCGGUACUAAUGAACCGUGAGGCUUAACCU
rnacentral:rRNA from 1 species